CAGAGUUAUCCAACUCCCAAACCCAUGUGAACUUAUCUCUUUGUUGCCUCGGCGCGAGCUACCCGGGACCUCGCGCCCCGGGCGGCCCGCCGGCGGACAAACCAAAACUCUUGUUAUCUUAGUUGAUUAUCUGAGUGUCUUAUUUAAUAAGUCA
rnacentral:misc_RNA from 1 species